ensembl:lncRNA
GGAAGGUAAAAAAUCCACCUAAUCACUAGAUAGCACUCCUUUAAAGACAAUUCUGAAUGGAAGAUGAGAUAGAUGGGUGUCUCAUAGAGUCAUGUAAUGGCUUGGGUUGGAAGGGACCCCAAGAAACAUCAAGUUCCAACUUCUCUGCUGUAGGUAGGGCCACCAACCUCCAGAUCUGGUACUGGACCAGGCUGCCCAGGGCCCCAUCCAACCUGGUCUCAGAGCCAUUCGCCAGGGAAACAUUCAGCAGUGCUGAGCUGUGCAAAGCGAGCCCAGCUGGAGUAGCUGCUUACACCUGUUUCUCGCCUUUUCACUGGAAGAUCCAAAUCCAAAGUUUGCAUCUGGGUAUGGUCCUGAGCUGAGUGCUUGAAUGGGAGAUGGCAGGAGAAGCAUUCCUUGCCUUCCUGCUCAGUGACUCAUUUGCACCAAAAGGAAGAAUAAAGCCUGGUCUGUUGUUCCAAAAAAGCAUCUUCCACAAAGCCACAGCUUCCACCAGUUCCAGCCCUGCAGAAGUAAUCACUUUACAGAAGCUAAUAAAGAAUGGAUUAAGCUACAGCUUUGAAGAACUCAUCUCAAAAGGACCCUGAAACCACUGUCUAAAAGCAAUAUUAUCAGCAUUAGAAGCUGAAAAAUUACACCAACAGAUCUAGUUGUUUCUCAAACCCAUAUGAACUUGUGAGAACUGCAGCAUUGCACAACAAGUGCUUCUGCAACUUCUGCUUGCUUAAAGGGAAGAAGUCCAAGUGAUGCUGUAUGCUAUACUGGGAAAUGACUUAUCUGGCAGCUGUAUAGUUUGAUUGUGUAUACUACUGCAAAAGAGAACAGAUGUCAAGUGUAUGCAUCAGCAGAUUUAUCCAGACAUCCGUCAUCCCGAGCAGGAUGACUGGUGGUGACCUGAGGCCUGACAUCUGCCUGCUGCAGUGCAACUGAAAGACAUCAGCUUUCUUUGAGGAUGUGGAGACCACCUGAGCAGACCUGAAAUUACGAAGACAGGUGUCUGAGGCUUAACAGAUGAAAACCACUUGCUGAAAAUAAAGGUCAGACCAUGGUAGAAAAGAGGUGACCUCUUUCUCAGCUCAGUUCACCAACAAUAUCUAUGGGAAACAGCUGUGACAGUUCCCUUCAGCACAAUAUCCACAGGUCCAAGCUGUUAAAACUGUAGUUAGUCUGCCUGGGCUACUGCUAUCUGCAAUGCUCUUCACAGAAGUAAGCAUUCUGCCUGAGACUGAGCCAUGAGUGCAGUAAUUUUGGGCAAAUGUUGCAAAACUCAGAAGCAGGUAGGUAAGAAAUUUUCAUUUUUGUCUUCUUUUUCCUGUAAAGAUUAAUGGAUGUGUACAUUUUUAUUGUUUUAGGAAAGAGUCAUUAUAUAUAUAAUUGAAGUUUAAAUCUUCCUUAAAUUUAAUCUUAAUUGUAUUUGAGACUAUGGGCUUUAAGCAUUGCUCAACAAUCACCUCUCAUUUAAGUAAAUUGAAAAAGGUCAUGAUUCAUUCGUGUUGAAGAAUUAAGAGUGAUGUUAAUUAUUAAGUAAUUGUAGUUAUGGAAAUCAGGCUAUUCUCUAUAUCAACCUGAAACAAGAUUUUUUCAUUCUAGCCAAAGAGCAAGAUCUUUAAAUUGUCAAAUCAAAAAUCUCUUUCAGGAAUGGAGAUCUUAUCUGGACAGCGUCAGAUUAAAACAACAUAGCUGCUUUCUCCAGUUGACAAAUGCAAGAUUAUUCACAGCUGAUUCUUAGUCAGCUUCAUGAGUUGAAUAUCUGCCCUCUGUGCAUAAUAAGAUAUAUGGAUGAUCAAAGCAAUUAUAGUUUCUCUUUUAUCAUUUUAUUAAUUGAAUAUCAGUUAUUAUUUGAAUGUUGUUUUUAUUUCCUGUUAAUUAAUGAAGUUAGGUUUACUUGUAGUUAUAUGUUCAUUUAAACUUAAUCAGGUUAGUAAAUACGAUGGCAAAAUCUACUUCCCCUUUUCCCAGCUCAAAAUCAUGAGAUGUGAACAAUCGUUAUUACUUGAAAGGUGAUUCAGCCUCUGGGUAAGCAAAGCCGUUAUCGGGCCCUUCUGAUCUGCCUUACUUUUCUUGCUUUGCUACAGAAGCAGAAGUCAGAUGGGGAAAGCUGAAUGUGCAUGAGUCUCCCUUUUGCCAUUAAUUUUUGGGAAGACUUGCAUGUUUUAGCUGCUCUUUGUGCCUUUGAAAGCAUCAUUCAAACAGCUUCUUAAUUAAAAUGGAGAAUCAGGCAAUAAAACAUUGUAAUCAGUGCCUCCAUUCGUGAUGCGUCUGAGGUGAUACGUGCUUUGUGUUCAUAGACAAUAGAACUUUGAAAACCAACAAAACAGCAGAAAAUGUUAUUUAUUUUUCUGUCCUGCUCAGUGACCUUUGCUAUUGGUGGAGCCUCUGAAGUCUGGCAGAGAAAAUGAAAUCCAGGUCUAGUGUGGCUAAUAUUCAACUCAACAGCAAAAGAUAGAUUUUACAUUCUUCUUUUCUAUUUUACAUUCUUCUUUUCUUUAUGCAAAGGCUGUUUGUUGAGUUGACAUUGUGAAAUCAGUCUGGCUAGUUGUGAAUGAUGUAUGAAAGAGGAAAAAACCCUGCCCAGAGCCCAAAUAAACAGGUGCUGCAGUAAGACCAAGGUAGUUGUGCUAAGCUAUCCUAUUUGCAGUGUCUGAGGCUGGAGGCAUUUCUGGUGGUCACCUGGCCAACCCCUGUCCCAGCAGUCACAUAGUUAGCUCAUGUCUUUACGUGUCCAAGAAUCUAUUAGUUUAGAUUUUGCUCAGAGAACAAGUAGGUAACGUAGAUGUGACUAAAAUUCAAAAUUCCACCAGUUUAUUCCUUCUCCCUUAGUAUUUUUCUCUAAAGAUGGGAGUAUUUGAAUAAUUACAUUAAUUAUUUUAUUUUAGCUGUAAUUCUAAUUAUAGCCUUAAUCUUCUUGAGGAGAAAUAACUAGGAGGUAGAUCAAAUUAUUAUUUAAAAUUGAAUGUACAAAACUUUGUUGUCAAUGCGGAAUUUUUCUCAUUUCAGACAUGAAUUUGACUUAAAAUCACCUUAAAUAAACAUAAUCAAUAUUCACUCUUUAUAUCUUGUUAUAUACAUUACUAUUUUAAUGUUUUUCCAUCCCUGGAGGUUUUCAAGGCCAGUUGGAUGGGGCCCUGGGCAGCCUGGUGAAGUAUUAGAUAUGGAGAUUGGUGGCCCUGCCUGAGGCAGAGGGGUUGGAACUUCAUGAUCCUUGAGGUCCCAUUCAACCCAAGCCAUUCUGUGGUUCUAUAAUUCUAUGAUUUUUAGGAUUCAAAGCUUGCUUGGACUUCCACAUACCCUUUAUCCGUGAUGAAGGUCAAAUGACCCUCAGCAGGUCAUCAGAAAGGAAUCAUCAAGACAAGUGGAAGAUAUUUCACGCAGGAGUAACACUGCUUAAAAUGAUGCUCCGUUCUUUUUGCUGAAGUACAAUGAAGGUAAAACAGUGAAUCACUGAAGUCCAGGACAAGUGAAUUGCAACUUUGGAUUCUGAACAACCUAAUCUUAAUGUCAUUCAUCGAUCAUGAUAAGUAAUAUCUUGGUACUGUAUACAUCAGCAAAAUUUGUAGAUUACUACUUAUUACAGACAUUGAAAUGCCCAUUUUGAUACAUUUUUCAUAGGUAUAUACAUGCCUCUUGUGGAUUUUAUUUAUUCACACCUUCUGUCAGUGUAAUUGUGCCGUAGUUAAAGUACUUGUUUUUCCUUCAUUCUUAUCCAGCUCAAUAGAUCAUGAAGGUUAAAGUAACCUUAAGCUACAUUUUACAAUUCUUUCUAGUACAUAAUUAAACAUUAAAAAAAUCGACAUUUAAAAAGGUAGCAACAUUCAUUUUACUACUGGAACAGAUGCAACAUGAAUUUAUUUAGUUCUAAAGACUGCUCUUAUCGAUGCCUAAUUCAUUUCUUCACAAUGCAGAAAGAUAGAGAAGUACACUUUUCUCAAGGUUACAACCACCCUAAUUCGUUCCAGGUUUCUGACUUACAAGAAGUUACACUUGCACAUUCAGUGAUUGAUCACAAUUUGCCGGAACAAGAUAGAAUUCCCCAUCCAUUCCUCGAUUAUGAUUUUUAAAUGGAUUACAUAGUAUAAUCUGAUAUGUACAUACUGCUCUUACAUUUCAAGAGAAUCAAAUACAGGCACUUUAAAGACAUUAAAGUCUACAUCUUGGCUUAUACAAAUAACUUCUUCAAAUAUCAUGCUCCUCACACAUUAGAAGUGAAUUUUCUUCAAUUUAUUCCUUCAAUAAUUGUCUCUAGAAGUUAAGUGAAAUCCAAACUGAAAGCUCAUGAUUUAUAUGUUGUAUGUUGGCAUUGUUUGUCAGUAUCUGUUUCAGCGCCCUCACUGCCUCUGCUUUUAUGGUGCCAAACUUCAGCUUAACUUUUGUCCUGUGUAUUGGUGUUUCUGAAAAUAUUGCUAGAAUGAAAAACUGAGAUCAGUCACAAUGAGUCUACAUGCUAGAGGAUAGUCAGAGAUCUGUACUUAAGUUCCUUUUUUUACCAAUGCAUGUUUUAUGUUUGUAUGUAUUUCAUGGUGCAUUUCUCUGUUGUGCCUAUCAAUAGAGUACUUCAAACCGGGACUAUGUGUGCUGGUUGGGAUCACACCACUGAAUAACACUGGGUAAAGACUCCUCAAAGAAUACAAGAAUUGUCAGAAGAAGGAUGGUUUGAUGGAUGGAGUAUCAAAUCUAGAUGAGAGCAGAACUGGGAAGCAAGGGAAAAGAAAUCUUAUAGCAAGCGUUCAGGAAAGAACAUUAUUUAUCACAAUGAAAAGGAAAAUAGCUAUGAAAAAUGAGAUGAAAUUAGGAAAGAAAAAUGGUACUCUGCAACCAUUCUUGCUGUAGCUAAAGAUAUUUCAUUUUUUCCUAUUAUUAGUCAGGAACAGUCUAUGUUCAUUUUAAAUGUAUAAUUAUUUUUGUUAUAAUAGUUUUGUAUUUUAUUGCGUCAUCUCCUUUACAGAACACACAGAAUAUCAUAACAGGACUCUUCAAUGCCCUGGAUGAACAAUAUAUUUACAGGAUGGGAAAGUGUAGAUGUCUGCCUUUCCUCCUUUGAAUGGCACUACUGCCUGUGUACUGAAUAAGCAGGGCUGACGGGGUUCACAUUAAUAGACCUUCCUUUUAGAGAGAGUAGUUGUGUGUAUUUCUGAUAAACAAUUAAAGAAGCUGUUUGCCAAGUAUUUCACUGUGCAAUAAUAGAUAGUGAAGGUGGAAGGACUGGAAAAUGACAAAGCGUUUAUCAUGUAGUGAGAAAGCCUAUGUGGUUCAAGAGGAGGAAAUAAUUGCUCCUUUUCUUUCAGCAUUUAUUCAAGUCAAAUGCAUCAAUGGAUGUUGCUGUAAAAGAGAGGUGCCUGCUUUGUUUAGGUAGGACAGAGGAACCCAACAAUACUAUGGAGCAAAAUGAGAAAUAUUAAAUAUGAAAACACUAAUGAGCUCUGGGUUAGUGAAUUGUGUGCAGAACUGUAUUUACUGUCCAACAGUUUUUUUUUGCAUUGAAUAUAUUGACUGCUUGUCUGUAUCUGGAACUUAACGUUUUCCAGAUGGUACUUAAUAUAUCCUUAUUUAUUCCUCCUCAUCCAACAUUUUGACUUGAAAUGGAAAAACAAGCCUGAUGAUCUCCAAGCUGAAGGUGUGGUGGGCCACUAUACUGCCUUGGCUGAUGUUCCUGUUAUUCUGAGUCCUUUUGUGGCUUUUGAAAAUCCAGAAUAAAGUUAAGUAAGCAAGAGACUUGACAGCCCACAUCAGAGCUGCCAACUCCAGCAAUGAACCAGAUUUAGAAGCUGUUAUAUGAAGAAUCUACAGGACAUGAGAUUUAAAUGGUUUCUCUGAAUAAGUACCUUCUAAACUAGGGUCCUUGAGGGCAUGGAGAGACCCUCGAUGACAGGGUGGGAUUGUUUUUUCUUCACUUCACCGUUGCAGGCAGACAGCUGGGAGGACCAAGGAAGAGCUCUUGUUCUUUUGCCUGCUUGGAGGAGAAAGUCAUUAAGUGGAUUAUCUCACUGGAUAAAGGUAUGAAGGUAAGAGGAAGAAUGGUCAGAAGCCCUCCCACUGCUGUGGUCCUUCUGGUGAUGCCCUCAGCCAUCGCAUGCAGGAUCCAUACAAAAGGUGAUUCCACGGUAAUAUAUUCUGUGCUAGUUUCUGGCAGGAAACAAUAGAUGCAAUGUGGGAGCUUAAAGAAGAGAGAUGCUGGGAAGACAUCAUACCUUUUCUGACUGUUCCAUAUCACAUCACUCUGUUUGGAGAUACUGUGUUUCAUCUCCUACAAAGUAAAUUGCUGGCUGACAGCUGGAACCACCUCUACUAUAAAUUAUUGCACUCACAAGCAAGUUGGAUAUCUACCAUAGGAUCAUCAAACACAGAGGAGUGGCAGUUUCUCUUUGCAGUCGAGGCGCCAGAUCCCAACAUGCCAGAGGUUGUGCUGAAAAUCAGGACUUGGGGCUCUUCCUUUGCUGAGAAGAUAAAGUGGCAACUCUUGUGAAAUCCCACCCCUGCUUCACCAGCUGAAUGAAGUCCAAAAACUUGAUGCUUCAAACAUUUCACAGAGAUGGAAAAAAUACGAGAGCCAAAAAGAUUGUUAAAAAGAAUCCACAGUGAGGAAGACGGGAAUGCUAUCUGUGGUUCUCAUAUGAGGAAGAGCAAGCUAGGUCCAGCAUGAAGCUCCAAAACUUCUAAACCCUGCAGAUAGAUGGUCUUCAGAAUAUGCAGUGGAGUUUAUCCAGUUUAACUCAGCCCAGCUGAUGCCAGCAGGUGGAGUUUCGCUGUGAGGUUUGUAAAGCUGCACCAUUCCCACUAGUCACUGAGGUCCUAACCAGUGCACUGCUGUGUGCAUGAAGUCCUGCUCUUAUCUGCUCAGUCUGGUAACUGAAAGUGCAAAGUGGCAAUUAGGUUCACCAUUAGCCCAUCAGCAAGUGCACAUUCAGGAUCAGAUCUACGUUUUGCAUGCCCAAGGCUGAGAGGUGCCAAUGGCUCUCCGUUACUGCUGGACAAGCAGAUAUGAAAAGUUGGCAUCCACAUAGAUCCGUGGCCGUGACAUGAGGAAACCUCCGCCACUUUGGCAAACAGCAUGCAAGUCCAGCAUAGGCCAUGGACCUUGUACAAUUGGGCUUUUAUCCCUGCUAAACUCUUAUUCUUCAGGUGGAUAAUUGUAUUGUCCUCAUCGGGAUUGUAACGGGGCUACCAGAUGAAUAUCCAGCUGCUUCCAUCCCUUUGAAGGAACAGUACACAAACCUGCAGCCUUAGCUCCCACCCUUACUACGGAAGGGGCUCAGCAUUCAGUCUGUAGGCAUAGCAGCAGAUUGGCAAGGUGACAUAACAACUAUUUGCAAGUCUACGUGCUGUCUGAAGUUACCAAAGUAAAUUGCACAGCAGUCUGCUUGGUAGUCCCUAAGAAGAUAAAGUGGUCAGUGCUGCUCUGCUUUGAAAAUAUCAGCCCUGCUUUGUGCAGAAUAUUGCAGACUGGCUGAAAUGUUGCCCAAGCAACAUCCACUCUUCAGCUGUACUUCUCACAGUGGCUUCAGCUGAAGAAGGGACAAGACCCAAGGAAGUGUUUGGAAAUCUCUCUUGCAUCCUCCCAGUCUGAGACCAACCAGAGCAGCUCCUGUUUGCAUUGGAUUUGUACAUCGUUGGCAUUGGAAGAAGAAACAUUCCAGUGUGAGAGGGAUCCUCAGCUGGCAAAGCUGUAUCUAGCAGAGGGCUUUGAACAAGCCCCGUGCAACUGAGAAAGAUGUUGGCUGAAAUGAACUGGAGGUCUUCCUCUUUAAUAUGGAUUUUAUGCUUGGUGCCAUGCAGACAGCGCUGGCAGGAGGACGAUUUCAGUCUCUGCUACAUCAAUGAAAACAAGGGGUUGUUUAAACUUGGCGUUGACACAAAUAAAAUAAAAACUGAGCUGUU